rnacentral:rRNA from 1 species
UACGUAGGGGGCAAGCGUUGUCCGGAAUCAUUGGGCGUAAAGCGCGUGUAGGCGGCCCGAUAAGUCCGCUGUGAAAGUCCAGGGCUCAACCCUGGGAUGCCGGUGGAUACUGUCGGGCUCGAGUCCGGAAGAGGAGUGUGGAAUUCCGUGGUGUAGCGGUGAAAUGCGUAGAUAUCAGGAGGAACACCUGUGGUGUAGACAGCUUACUGGACCACUUCUGACGCUGAGACACGAAAGCGUGGGUAGCAAACAGG